AUUGAACGCUGGCGGAAUGCUUUACACAUGCAAGUCGAACGGCAGCACGGACUUCGGUCUGGUGGCGAGUGGCGAACGGGUGAGUAACAUAUCGGAACGUAUCCAAUAAUGGGGGAUAACGAGUCGAAAGAUUCGCUAAUACCGCAUACGCCCUACGGGGGAAAGCUGGGGACCUUCGGGCCUGGCGUUAAUGGAGCGGCCGAUAUCUGAUUAGCUAGUUGGUGAGGUAAAGGCUCACCAAGGCGACGAUCAGUAGCUGGUCUGAGAGGACGACCAGCCACACUGGAACUGAGACACGGUCCAGACUCCUACGGGAGGCAGCAGUGGGGAAGUUUGGACAAUGGGCGCAAGCCUGAUCCAGCCAUUCCGCGUGGGUGAAGAAGGCCUUCGGGUUGUAAAGCUCUUUCGCAAGGGAAGAAAACUUAGCCACUAACAUUGGUUGAGGUUGACGGUACCUUGAUAAGAAGCACCGGCUAACUACGUGCCAGCAGCCGCCGCAG
rnacentral:rRNA from 1 species